rnacentral:tRNA from 1 species
GCUGUGGUGGCUCAGUGGAUUGAGCGUCGUCCUGUGGAUCAAGGGGUCCUGGGUUCGAUUCCCAGUCAGGGCA